GGGUCUUUUGACUACUCCACAUAAAACGCCAAAUCAUGAAAUAAAACGCCAAAAAAAAAUCACAGACUAUUCUAAGUAAAACGCGAUUAAAUAUAAAACACCAAACUUAAAUAUAGUAAAAUCCCGUCUUAAAAAACCGCCAAAAAAUCCUAUAUAUACAACAUCUCACACCUUCGGUUAAAACACACACACAAAAACCCAAACGUCAUAUUUCAUAUAACCCAUUCACCUUAGAAACGUCAAAAAACCCAAACAUCAAAAAUCUUCAACCCCAAAAACGUUUUUUUUUUUAACUUUAGUUUGGCUGUCAGUAAGAUUUCGCUCAAUGAAAUAGACAAAAUCCUAAAGUGAGGAUAUAGUUCAUUUCAUUUAGUAAAAUCUCAUUGACUUAUCCUAAACUUCCAUCAAAUUUAUAACGCCAAAACAUACCAAAACAUUAUUGAGGUUUGUUGUCAAUAAAGUUUAGCUGUAUGGGGUGGACAACAUUGUCACAAAACAUUAUUGAUUUUAGUAUGAUCAAAAUUUGAGGUUUAAGGUGAUCUUAUUUCGUGGCGUUCUUUUUAUCGGUAAAACGCAAAAAAAGUUAAAAAAUCAAACAUCGUUGAUUGAAAAAAUUCAAGAUUGUUGGCUGAAGGAUAUAAACUCAAUAACAUUUUGCUGCAUGAGAUGGACAAAUAUUCAAGAAAAAGAUGCUGAUGUCAGACUAUGUGCUUCCAAACAGCAACACAAAAAACUACUUGAAAAACAAAAAAAACAAAAUGAAUCAUACGAAAGUCUAACCAGCCAGUUAACAUGAUUCAAAAAAGAGAAAGAAAGAGACCGGAUAUAGAGAAGAUUUGGAAGAUCAAUUGUUUAUGUAUUCUUUUUUUUAUUUUCCUUUUCAGUUAAUUGUUAUAUAAUCAAAACGCCGUAUAUAAUAAAAACGCCAAAACAGCCAAAGUGCUUGUUUAAAACGAUAUCAUCCAGUUAAACGCCACCAAAAAACUGCCAAACUAUAACAAAAUUACUUUGAAAAAUUAUUA
rnacentral:lncRNA from 1 species